CCUACGGGAGGCAGCAGUAGGGAAUUUUCGUCAAUGGGCGCAAGCCUGAACGAGCAAUGCCGCGUGAGUGAGGAAGGUCUUCGGAUCGUAAAGCUCUGUUGCAGGUCAGAAAAGAAGGAAAGAGGAAAUGCUUUUCUUUUGAUAGUAACCUGCCAGAAAGUCACGGCUAACUACGUGCCAGCAGCCGCGGUAAUAUGGGGGGUGCAAGCGUUGUCCGGAAUCAUUGGGCGUAAAGAGUUCGUAGGCGGCACGUAAAGUCUGGUGUUAAAGGCAGAGGCUCAACUUCUGUACGGCACUGGAUACUU
rnacentral:rRNA from 1 species